rnacentral:rRNA from 1 species
CCUACGGGAGGCAGCAGUGGGGAACCUUGCGCAAUGGGCGAAAGCCUGACGCAGCAACGCCGCGUGCGGGAAGAAGGCUUUCGGGCUGUAAACCGCUUUCAGCAGGAACGAAAAUGACGGUACCUGCAGAAGAAGGAGCGGCCAACUAUGUGCCAGCAGCCGCGGUGAUACAUAGGCUUCAAGCGUUGUCCGGAUUUAUUGGGCGUAAAGAGUUCGUAGGCGGUCAAGUAAGUCGGGUGUGAAAAUUCUGGGCUCAACCCAGAGACGCCACCCGAUACUGCUUAACUUGAGUUCGAUAGGGGAGUGGGGAAUUCCUAGUGUAGCGGUGAAAUGCGCAGAUAUUAGGAGGAACACCGGUGGCGAAGGCGCCACUCUGGAUCGAUACUGACGCUGAGGAACGAAAGCAUGGGUAGCAAACAGGAUUAGAUACCCUGGUAGUCCAUGCCGUAAACGGUGGGCACUAGGUGUGGGUUUCUAUUAACGAAAUCCGCGCCGUCGCUAACGCAUUAAGUGCCCCGCCUGGGGAGUACGGUCGCAAGACUAAAACUUAAAGAUAUAG